CAGUCGCCGCGGGAAUACAGAGGGUGCAAGCGUUAAUCGGAAUUACUGGGCGUAAAGCGCGCGUAGGUGGUUUGUUAAGUUGAAUGUGAAAUCCCCGGGCUCAACCUGGGAACUGCAUCCAAAACUGGCAAGCUAGAGUAGGGCAGAGGGUGGUGGAAUUUCCUGUGUAGCGGUGAAAUGCGUAGAUAUAGGAAGGAACACCAGUGGCGAAGGCGACCACCUGGGCUCAUACUGACACUGAGGUGCGAAAGCGUGGGGAGCAAACAGGAUUAGAUACCCCAGUAGUCCCUGUCUCUUAUAC
rnacentral:rRNA from 1 species